CCUCCUCUGACAUCACAAAGCCCUUGUGAGGAGUUGCAGACUCUGCCCACAUAAGGCACUGGCUGGGGCUGGGGCUUCUCACACUGAGGAGAAGCUGUUGCUUGGUUGGCUGUAGAGUUGUUGACUCAGACAUUGGUUCACGUACACUUUGAUACUGUUGUUCUCCUAUAAACAGACACAGUUCAUCUGCUUCGACAUCCAAACACAUCUUGUCGUGGUCCCAUUCCCCACCUGUCACGGUGAUGAACAUGGAGGGAGAAUUUCCAUGGACCAGUCUCUCUGAUUUACCACCAGCAUGCAGAGAAAUGGGAUCCAGGCUGUCCAUCUCCACCAUUGUAGAUGCUAUAUGUUGCUUAGGCCACAUGGCUGAAGAAACCCUGGGACUCAUAGGAACAAAUAGGCUUAAUGAUGCCCUGACAAAAAACACUAUGUUCAACAAGAGAAAAAGUGGUGGUACCAUCCUUGGUGAAAUAUGGCAUGUUCCAAAGACCUAUUCAUUCAAGAGUCCUGCAGGUCCCCCCAGCCUCCCUCCUACCCUAAGGUGGGGAGGUAGUCAAGCUGCCUUGCCCACACUGCUGGCAUCUGAAGACAACAAAGGGCAAGAUGUGAAUGAAGAGAGAUGUAGCAAGAUCUCCUCUAGGUCCAGCUCUCCAGAUUUAUACAAGCUGCUGGAUCUCAGCUGGCCUGGGAAUUCUGCCCCACACUUUCAUGCUGUGCAGGCCUAUAACAUCAAUAACAAUGCUGAGGAGACAGAGAGUUCCACCUGUUCUGGUGACAGUGACACAUCUGAGGAUGAUCUCUCCUACAUGGAGGACACCACUUCUACCUCAGCCCCACAGGAUGAUGGUGUGGAGGCUGAGAUUGAGGAGACUGGCAACACCACCAUGCUCAGUCACACAUCCCUCAAUGCGUUGUUCUUCCUGGAAGACACCAGCUGUCAACAGAUCCCAGGACCUCAGGAUGAUGCUGAGGUUACCAACAGCUUCAGCACAUCUAGAGACCUGAAAGAAAUUGACCUACAGUCCAGUGAGAGAACACAUGAUGCUAUCGACUCUGUGGACUCUCCCCAGAAUGAGAACACUGAAUGUGAAAACAGCAUGGGAAUAAUCCUUGAAGAGUCCCCACCUAGCUUUAGCAAGGACCAGCCCCAGAAGGUAGCCACAGCCUCCAAGAAGAAGCAAAGAAGGGGCUGGAAAGGGGUAAGGAGGCAGAUUAGUCGCCUGACUUCCGGUUUAUUCUGUUGCCUCCUCACCCCAAAGACAGGAGACACAACCCCCAGGGCUGAAGAACAGGCCUGGGUCCAUGGUUCUUAAACCAUGGGUCUCAGUUCGGCCUGGUGUGGUCUACCCGCCACAGGAGGGAGCCAGGCCAGAAUUCCAUAAAGCUGUGUACCCCAAACUACGUUUUUAUGUAUCAGCCACCUCAAACAACCAGGGCACAAGCUGUCUACCACUCCUCUAAUUGCAGUCCUCCUUCCACUAGUUGCCCAUCGUGCUUCUUCUGUUUCAGAAGUCCAGGAGCUGGUGUCAUAUCUUUAUUCCAAUGAGUCUGCUGAAAACCACGUGUGUGGCUGGAAUCCAUGAAGAAUAGGAGGGUAAACCUUUGUCAGCUGCCUCUGUGGAACUGUCACAGAACAGCAGCUCUUAGCUUUGUGUGGGAGCCUUUCCCACAGUGACUCAGUACUGUGGACCCUAUGGCUCAUUUCUGCUUGAUGUGGACACAUCAGGACUAUAGAUGAAACUGGAGCAGUGGUGCACUCUCCAUAGUUGGAACAAGAUAUCCUAGGCCUGACAUGAAAAUUUGUUUACUUUAUUAAAUGCUCACUUGAUUUUUA